UCUUCCGUGGUAUAGUGGUCAGUAUAUGAGUUUGUCAUCCAUCCGGAUCUCGCUCGGGACCCGGGUUCAAUUCCCGGCAGGAAAG
rnacentral:tRNA from 1 species